rnacentral:rRNA from 1 species
AUUGAACGCUGGGCGGCAUGCCUUACACAUGCAAGUCGAACGGUAACGCGGGGCAACCUGGCGACGAGUGGCGAACGGGUGAGUAAUAUAUCGGAACGUGCCCAGUAGUGGGGGAUAGCCCGGCGAAAGCCGGAUUAAUACCGCAUACGACCUACGGGUGAAAGGCGGGGGAUCGCAAGACCUCGCGCUAUUGGAGCGGCCGAUAUCAGAUUAGGUAGUUGGUGGGGUAAAGGCCUACCAAGCCUACGAUCUGUAGCUGGUCUGAGAGGACGACCAGCCACACUGGGACUGAGACACGG